CAACACAAACCCACAAAAGAGCAUUUCUCGGCUCUACUUGCAAAGGUCAUGGAAAAAUGGCGAGUUGACGUAUGUCUCAAGGCAGUUAAUAGUGAUGAGGGUUCAGUUAUCUCUGCCCACAAAGUUAUUCUGGAGUUCAAGACUUUGGGUAAGUUGGUUAAAACAAUCACUCUCUCGGAGAUGAAACAAGAAGAGCUAGAAGCUUUUGUUGAGUUUAUAUACAGUGAUGGUUCUAUGCUUUCCGGCAAAAUGAAGCAACACGCUCGGGCUCUCUAUCUUACGGCUGUCAAAUACAAGAUUAUCCAACUACGAGAUCUAUGCAGAUCCGAGCUUAUAUCUUCUCUGGAUAUGGCAAAUUAUUUUUAUUAGAGCCCACAAGAAAGACAAACCUAAGCCCAAUGUGAUAACAUGUAACUAGGGUUCUUAGCAAGAUGAAAGUUAUAUAUAUAGUGAUGUAAUGAGAACUUAUAGAGUAACUUUGAGAGUUGUUUUUCUU